ACGGUUACCUUGUUACGACUUAGCCCCAGUCAUCGGUUUUGCCCUAGGGCGCUGCUCGCGCUCACGCACUUCAGGCACUCCCGACUCCCAUGGCUUGACGGGCGGUGUGUACAAGGCCCGGGAACGUAUUCACCGCGCCGUGGCUGAUGCGCGAUUACUAGCGAAUCCAGCUUCAUGGAGUCGGGUUGCAGACUCCAAUCCGAACUGAGACAGGCUUUCGGGUUCCGCUCCCUGUCGCCAGGUGGCUUCCCGCUGUACCUGCCAUUGUAACACGUGUGUCGCCCCGGACGUAAGGGCCGUGCUGAUUUGACGUCAUCCCCGCCUUCCUCGCAGCUUGCGCCGGCAGUCCCGCCAGAGUCCCCAGCUUUGCCUGUUGGCAACUGGCGGUAGGGGUUGCGCUCGUUAUGGCACUUAAGCCGACACCUCACGGCACGAGCUGACGACAACCAUGCAGCACCUCGUCGCAGGUCCGUAGACGGGCAUCCUUUCAGACACCCUUCCUGCAACGUUUGAGCCCGGGUAAGGUUCCUCGCGUAUCAUCGAAUUAAACCACAUGUUCCUCCGCUUGUGCGGGCCCCCGUCAAU
rnacentral:rRNA from 1 species